rnacentral:rRNA from 1 species
CCUACGGGUGGCAGCAGUGGGGAAUAUUGCACAAUGGGCGAAAGCCUGAUGCAGCAACGCCGCGUGAGCGAUGAAGGCCUUCCGGUCGUAAAGCUCUGUCUUCAAGGAAGUUAAUGACGGUACUUGAGGAUGAAGCCCCGGCUAACUACGUGCCAGCAGCCGCGGUAAUACGUAGGGGGCUAGCGUUAUCCGGAAUUACUGGGCGUAAAGGGUGCGUAGGUGGUUUCUUAAGUCAGAGGUGAAGGGCUACGGCUAAACCGUAGUAAGCCUUUGAAACUGGGAAACUUGAGUGCAGGAGAGGAGGGUGGAAUUCGUGGUGUAGCGGUGAAAUGCGUAGAUAUUAGGAGGAACACCAAUUGCGAAGGCAGCUCUCUGAACUGUAACUGACACUGAGGCACGAAAGCGUGGGGAGCAAACAGGAUUAGAUACCCGUGUAGUC